rnacentral:rRNA from 1 species
ACCUCGGAGCUCCGSCCCCGUGGCACGCGGKCGCUGUGGCAUGUCCGGCGUCKYCRGCGUGCACUUCUCUCCUAGYAKGACRUCGCGACCCGUUGGGUGUCGGCCUACGGCCCGGGUGGUCGUCUGUCACGUCGCUUCGGCGCACGAGGCAGACCCUCGGUAGCCUGGCCGGCUGCUCGGCGGUACUCGCACGGUAUCGGGCCGCAAGAACUGCGUCAGGCCCGCCGCAAGCGCGGCCAGUGAUACCCGGAAUGCGGACCUAGCGCCGUUUUCGGGCCUGGCCAGCUGUUGGUUGGCGGUGUCCUCGGACUGGCUCUGUUGAAUUGAUACCGGUCGGCGACGCUACUGCUUUGGGUACUUUCAGGACCCGUCUUGAAACACGGACCAAGGAGUCUAACAUGUGCGCGAGUCAUUGGGACUGCAAACCUAAAGGCGAAAUGAAAGUGAAGGUCGGCCUCGCGCCGACCGAGGGAGGAUGGGCCGCGUCACGAUGCGGCCCCGCACUCCCGGGGCGUCUCGUACUCAUUGCGAGUAGAGGCGCACCCAGAGCGUACACGUUGGGACCCGAAAGAUGGUGAACUAUGCCUGGUCAGGACGAAGUCAGGGGAAACCCUGAUGGAGGUCCGUAGCGAUUCUGACGUGCAAAUCGAUCGUCGGAACUGGGUAUAGGGGCGAAAGAC